GACGAACGCUGGCGGCGUGCUUAACACAUGCAAGUCGAACGGAAAGGCCCUGCUUUUGUGGGGUGCUCGAGUGGCGAACGGGUGAGUAACACGUGAGUAACCUGCCCUUGACUUUGGGAUAACUUCAGGAAACUGGGGCUAAUACCGGAUAGGAGCUCCUGCUGCAUGGUGGGGGUUGGAAAGUUUCGGCGGUUGGGGCUGGACUCGCGGCUUAUCAGCUUGUUGGUGGGGUAGUGGCUUACCAAGGCUUUGACGGGUAGCCGGCCUGAGAGGGUGACCGGGCACAUUGCGACUGAGGUACGGCCCAGACUCGUACGGGAGGCAGCAGUGGGGAAUAUUGCACAAUGGGCGGAAGCCUGAUGCAGAGGCGCCGCGUGCGGGAUGACGGCCUUCGGGUUGUAAACCGCUUUCGCCUGUGACGAGGCGUGAGUGACGGUAAUGGGUAAAGAAGCACCGGCUAACUACGUG
rnacentral:rRNA from 1 species